ACCGCAUUGGUUCAUCUGAUUCAAACAUGGCCAUUGUUGUCGAGGGGCCGAGCUUGUAGGCGUAUGGUUCAGAGAACACAUGGGCAGCGGCAACGAAGUGGACGGCAAAUGAAGCACGUCUUGUUGGUUCAGGAGAAAAGAUCGUACUGACCGAAUGAUCCAUUCUUCGAUGGGAGACUUUUUGAUUCCAGGCGCAGGAAAACACCAAUGGAGUUGGAUUGAUGAUCCAACACUCUUGUCUCCUUUUAUCGUAUCGUGUGGACAACUCUGCCUCAGCAUUUUGGACCUUAUUUUACAGGGAAUGGGGAGGAUCGAGUGGAGAAGAUGGUAGAGUGGACAGACUGAGCUGCAGGAGCAUGUCACCGCGCAGCUUGCGAGGACUAAAGGCUGAAUGAGAUGGGGAGGUAGAGUGAAGGACUCGAGCUCUCUGGUCCAAUGACAGAAGCGAGAACUUUAGAGAGAGGUGAUAAGAAGAAAGGCAGAUGUUGCUCUUGAAUCAUCAUAAGUCACACAGCUGUAAGGUUUCGUUUGACUUUAAUAUGGAUUCGACUGUGGCCUCCGCUCAAAGGGGAACUUCUCAACAGAGGCGCGGUCGCAUGAACAGUGAGGCUUGAUGGGGAGAUUCGCGUUCAGCGGUGAGCUGAUUGGGUCGUCGGCUGCACCGCAUCGACCGAAGCGGUGCCAACGCACGCCGGGAAGCAGCGUCGGCGGCUUCGACGUCGAUGGCGUUCAGGGGAUGAUUUGCCCUGGCUUGACAGGGAGAGCGUCAGGAUAUCGUGGACCGAAAGCUGUUUGUUGAAAUGAGGUGGAAGACGACGACCGUCCACCGUGUUUACUCACCGCAUUUGCCUUUGUGGCCGACUGCUCCACUGCAUGGCCGGAAUGAAUCACCCCUGAGGCAUUAAAGGGGUCGGUCGUCUCUCACAAGCCUGCCUAUGUGGCGCCCAGCUUUCGUGUCUGCGAAGAGUAAAUUGCCAAAUAAAAGAAUAUCUAGAGUACACGUCAGUUGACA